GCUGGCGGCAUGCCUUACACAUGCAAGUCGAACGGCAGCACGGGUGCUUGCACCUGGUGGCGAGUGGCGAACGGGUGAGUAAUAUAUCGGAACGUACCUUAUCGUGGGGGAUAACGCAGCGAAAGCUGCGCUAAUACCGCAUACGCCCUGAGGGGGAAAGCGGGGGACCGUAAGGCCUCGCGCGAUUAGAGCGGCCGAUAUCUGAUUAGCUUGUUGGUGGGGUAAAAAGCCCACCAAGGCGACGAUCAGUAGCUGGUCUGAGAGGACGAUCAGCCACACUGGGACUGAGACACGGCCCAGACUCCUACGGGAGGCAGCAGUGGGGAAUUUUGGACAAUGGGGGCAACCCUGAUCCAGCAAUGCCGCGUGAGUGAAGAAGGCCUUCGGGUUGUAAAGCUCUUUUGUCAGGGAAGAAACAGCAGCUCUAACACAGUCUGCGAAUGACGGUACCUGAAGAAUAAGCACCGGCUAACUACGUG
rnacentral:rRNA from 1 species